AAAGAAAAAGAAGCCCACUAAAACAGCAUACUCUCCACACCCAAAUGAAGGAAGGUCAAAACCAGAUGGGUUGUAUCUAUAUAUGUAUAUGUAUAUAUAUAAAAUAUAUAGAAUAUAUAAUCAAAUAGAGACAAGUGAAAAAACCAUUGAAGGAAUCUAAAAUAAUGGUUGAAGAAAGGAAAGGUGAAAAUGGGAAAAGGAGAGAGAGAGAGAGAGAGAGAGAGAGAGGAGGCUGUUUCUCUCUACAAGACUUGUUUCUUCUUUCUUAUUGUUUUUGGGUUUGAAGUAAAUGUUUCAGCUUUUCUUACUUCUAUAUUAUUUAUUUAUAUUAUAUAUUUAUUAUAUACUUAUUUCUCUAUAUGUUUCUUCUUUCCAAUUUCCUUUUUUUUUUUCUCCACCAUAAAAUCAAAUAAAUUGCAAAAAUUUGAUUAAAUUUAUUACUUUUAAUAAAUAAAAAAAAUUAUGCUCCAUGAAAGAAUUUUAUUAGUAAUAAUGCCUUUUGUGUGGGUGUGUGUUGACCAAGGACUUUUUCAGUUUGUGUGUACAUUUUUUCAAACCCUUAACAAAAAAGAAAAACAGAAACUAUCAAGGUUAAUGCGAUGUGAAUACAUACUUUAUUAUUUAUUAUUAUAUUUUUUUACUUUCCCGAGAAUAAUCUUCGUUAAAUUACAGUCACUCCUGAGGUAAUAUCAGUUAUGAAAAAAUUAAUUAUAUUUGGGUGGGUAUUUACAACUAUCCUUCAAUAAUAAAUUUUCUUAAAUAUUUUUAUUUUGGUGUUAGUGAGAUCUUCUAGAAUAUGUGGAAUAUUCGUCAGUUUGUACCCGUUUAAUUCUAUUCGAACUCCACAUUUUGUAACAAGAUGAUCAUAAGAUGUAUCUAUCGGUUUGUAAAUAUCAGAUUAUAGUGCAUCACAAACUGCAUUUUUUGCACAAAACGAGUACGAGCUAGACGAAUAUUCAUAGUUAAUGGUUGAUUGUAAUUACCCAAUCAUAAGAGUUUCUUUUUGUAAUUUUGACCUUACCUCGAGUGACCAUAAUUUACCUAAAUUAUUAUACAUUAAUAACAUGAGAUUUAACCAUUGACUUGUAGCGGAGACGAAAUCGGGUUAUAAUUUAAUAAAUGAAAUACACAAAUAAAUUACAUAUUUAUAUAAUAUGUUGAUCAUGAAUUUAAAAAGAAAUUAUGAUAAUUAGAUAGAAUGAAAGAUUAAUAAUAAAAGGAGAGUGGCCGUGACAUCCAACUCGCGUAGUGGAAAGAAAACAAAAGAUAGAAUAAGAAAAGACGUGGCCAAUAAAGAGGUGAAAUAAACAACCAAAGUUUGUUUGGACUUUUUAGGCUGCUUUUCUUAUGCCUUCUCUCUUAUGCACUUUGUGCUAUGUGUGAAUUAUUAUGAUGUUGAUUUUUUUUUAUUUUAAGUUUAACUGGUUCCAUGAUUUGGAUUAGUAUUAAUUAUAUUAGUAUUUUGUUAUGGGAUAACAUUUUAAAAGUGACAAAAAUUAUAAUAAAACUUGAGAGUAUUACACUUAUAGUAUUGUGACAAAAAUAACAAUUAUAAUAAGACAUAUAUUAUAAUAUUAUAAUGAAACUUAUUAGUGAUAUUUAAACCAUAGUAAAUAUAUUUAUAUUUCAUAUAAAUUUGAUAAUGCUAGCUCACUUGGCAAAAGAUUAUAUAAACUUCAUUUAUAAUAUGAAUUGAUCAUUAGAGAAAAUAAGUUGGAAAAUGUACUAAUAUUAAAAAAAUGAAAAAAAGGGCUAUCUGAUAUGAAAAUAAGAGAAUAUAAAAAUAUGAAGAAAAAGAAAAUUAUGAAGACGUCCUAGCGUAUAUUACUUUUAUAUAUAAGAUUAUUUCUCUAGUCUUCUUUAGAAUUUUUAUUUGAUCGAUUAGAUGGUUACAUUACAACAUGAUUCAUAUGAAGCAAUAUGUAAUUAUAUUUUACUUAUUGCACUAAUUAUAUAGUCAUUACAUUGUUUGAAAAUAAAGAUUAUAUUGAAGGGCCGUCUAUUUGAAAAGGGAAAUUAGAUGCUACACCCGAUUAUUUACAUUGGGAGAAUUUGAAGCGGAGAUUUAUACAUAAUCACGCAUAUCCAUGUAUAUGUGUGCUUAGUAGGUAAAUAUUUAAUCAAAUAUGCGGUUCAAAUCCAUUAAAAAAUUUAGGUGUAGCAUCUAAAUCCCCGUAUUUGAAAGGGUUUUUCGCCUUAGCGUAAGACACUCAAAGAAAAUUAUAUUUUUUACCCUCAAAUAAACAAAAUACCUCAAACAUAAACACACGAAUCUUCUUUGUGCAAGACCGCAUACAUACGAAAUCCACAAACCCACUCAUUUCUUAACAACUCACAAAUCAUCAUCAUGAUCCUCUUCUUCACAAAUCCAACACAAAACAUCGAAAUCCAAAACAACCAAAACAUCACAAAAGUUACACAAUGGAGUAAAUAAAAGCAAUACGGUAGUUUACAUGGAAGAAGAGCCCAAUGAGGUAUGUACCAAUGUCUUCUUUCAGCUUGUGAUACAAUCUCAAAGUAUCGCAAUAUUAUUAUGCAAGUAAGGAAGAAAUUUCAUAAAAUAAUUAUAUAUAUCCUUGAAAGAACACGUAAAAGGUUUAAAUAGGCUCCCAACCCUAGUUUGUAAAGGAAAAAACUUCUAAUCUAUUACGCUACUAAGAAGGCACUAACUAAGAACAUAAGGAAACAAAUACAUAAAUGAAACCAAUCAGCUUCUUCUACUCCUCAAAAAGUGGAUUUGGCUUUGGUGGCGCGUGAACUUCUACGAACCGUAACAUUCGUCAGCCCUUCAGAAGCCUCCUUGUCAUCAAGCGGAAAUGAUGGAAAGCAUCCUGCAAUAUUUCCCACAGCUUCCCACGUAGCAUCUUCAGCUGGCAAGGACCGCCAUUUCACUAGAACCUCUUGGACCUCACCUCCAUUGCACACCACCAGUCGUCUAGCGAGCGCCUUCUCUAGUUCAACCACCGGUCCACCAUCGACCGUAUAAGGUGGUAAUGUAGCGACUGACUUAGAUGCUCCCCCAUUUCCAUCAAAGAAAAGAGACAUGGAACACGUGGUGAAAGUGAGACAUAAAGCUCAAGAUGAUAUGCGACUGAACCCACUCAAGCCACAACCUGGAACGACCUAUAGAAUCGGCUAGAAAGCUUUUGAUAUACGUGUUUGAAAAUUGAGUGUUGUCUAUAAGGUUGUAAUUUAAGGUAAACCUAAUAUUGAACAUUAAAUUUCUCCUCAUGGCGAUGGCGGUCGGCGAUUUGUAUCAUACGGUUGCGUGCAACGCGAGAUUGUUUUUCAACUCCUUCAAUAUAUCAUCACGCGGUCGUAACUCUUGGUCCACGUCAUGCACUGCUGUCGAACCCGACAUAUAUUGAACCAAUGGUGGUGGCUUACGUCCAUACAAACAUUCAAACGGUGUCAUUCCAAUUGACUGGUGAAAUUUAAUAUCAUACCAAUAUUAUGCCCAUGCGAGAAAAAUUUCCCAAAGCUUUGGUUGCGAACUCACAAAGCACCGGAGAUAUUUAUUUAAGACUUCGGUUUGACCAUCCGAUUCAGGGUGAUAAGAUGUGCUUGUGCACAAAGCAGUCCCUUGAAGGAGGAAUAACCCUAGAAUUAAGCUGAUAAACACCUUAUCACGAUCAGACACUAUAGAAGUGGAGUACCAUGAAGAUUCACCACACCUCGAAAAAAUUCGUUGGCGACGUCUUUGAACAAAUAUGGAUGGGCCAAUGCCAUAAAAUGUGCGUACAUAGAUAAUCUAUCCACAAUCACAAAAAUCGUUUUUCCACCGCGCGACCAUGUUAGCCUUUCUAUCAAAUUCAUGCUAAUAUAUGUUCAUAUAGCCGCAUAAAUAGGGAGCGGUUGGAGUAGCCAGCGGAGUUUCCACAAAUCUACCUUAUUAGCGCGCGUCACAUCGCAACAAAUUUGCGAAUAGCACCACGAAGUCUAGGUCACCAAAAUUCAAUUUUAAUUUCAAAUCCAAUUUCCAAUUCCAAUUUUAAAAUCGAUCAAAUCUAAUUUUAAAACCAAACUCCAAUUUUCUAAUUCCAAUUUCAAAAUUGAUCAAAUCCAAUUUUUAAAUUAAAUUAAAAUUAAACCAACCCAAUUCCAAUUUCAUCAAUUCAAUCAAUUCAAUAACCUAUUCACAUGCAAUCGAAAGCAAUAAAAAUGUAGGCAAUUAAUUGCGCAAUCGUAGCUCUGAUACCACUGUUGGGAAUCGGGCAGGUGUACGCAACAGAAAAAAAAAAUAUUUAUAUAAACUAAUUUAUUUAAACAUACACGUGCACAAUAACUACAAUUAAUUGUGUACCUUUUCACUUCCAAUCACCGACAAACAUGCUCGUAUAUAUAAUUAAUUUAAAUAACGUAAAUUUAAUCAUCAUAGCAUGCUCGCGAAAUUAAAUCAAAUAAUAAACAUGCUCGCUCAACGAACGAUUCACAUGAACACAUUUAGAUUCAUGUGAUUCAAUAAUCAAUUAACAUACAUUAAUCUCAAUUAAUAUAAAUUAAUUAAUAUAUAUUUAUUAAUUAGGGAAAACGAGAUUUUACCCUUGAAGCGUGAAUCGAAUGAAGACUCGAGAAGAUGGCUAAGCUGUUCUUCCCACUCCUACUGACCCAACCUAUUUUCUGAUCUGAAAUUACAGGCCUCUUCCGACUUCAAUAUCUCCAUAGUUAUUGACUGGAUCGCAAAUUCUUUCUGAGGUACUAUAUAUCCAUGAGUCCGAAGCUUUUGUCAAAAUUUCACGUCCAUCCGAUCACCGUUUGAGUUAUGGCGAAUUUUCUCGUUGAACUGCGCAGAAAAUGCGAGAGCAGUUUUUCAGAAUUGCGUUCUCACAUCAGCGGCUUGUGGCGGCGCGUGAAGGCUCGUGAAGGCGAACCUGAUGGCGGCACAAGAAUCUUCCUCCUCUUAGGUUUCACCUCGUAUAUUUAAUCCAUUAUCCACGCAUCACUAGAUAUGUGAUAGGCUAAGUGAAACGAAGAAGAAUGAGGGGAAAAAGAAGAUGUCAAUGUGGCGGCAGGGUUUCGUCUGCAAGGUGGACUGCUGAUGGAGGAAGAGAGGCUAGGGUUCAUGCUUGUCUUGUGUGUUUCAUAAGAUAUAUAAAUUCUAUUUAUAUGGUCCUUGUGAAAACCCUAACAGACCUUAAGUGGCUAAGCCUAACAGUUUAAGCCCACUCUCUUUCUCGGCUCGUUUCUAACAAGCGAAUACUCGCAAAAAGUAUAACAAUUAUAUUUUGAUGAAGAGCACAUAAUUCUCGUCGAUACAAGUACUACUUUGCAAUUUUCCAAUUUCCAAAAUUGGAAACCUUAAUCUAGGACCUGUCAAAUCGGGAAACUUCCCAAUGUUUAAAGUUCACUAACUUUUCGUCGAAUUCUUUUCCUCUACUUAUUCUCAUUCGUAAUUAAUAAUUACAAAUGUUGGACUCAAUCACAUUGACUUCCAAUUACAGUAAGAUUAACUAAUUAAUCUUAGCUCGCUGCAUUAAGGAUCUUAAGUACACAAGCAGUGUGACUCUCGAUGGUUCAGGUGUAAGCUAGCCGUAACCCAUUGUGGUUUAAACUCGUCCCUAGAGUUAUAAUUAAGUUGAAGCUAGUUUCAACUUAACUACCCAACAAAUCAAGAUUGGCGUGUAGCAACUACGCGUCAUGAUUCCACAUAUACAAAUGAAGUGCCUGCAAGAACCGUGUGAUAUAGUUAACGUACAGUACGAUCCCUUCGAUACAUAUAUCUCGAUUGAACUAGAGGCAUUAGUUCAGCGAAACCUCCUUAUGAGUUUAAUAAAUGUGUAGAAGUUUUUAUUAUAUAAUCCGUUCGUGUUUGACUUAGAGAAACACAUUUCUCUAAUCACGACUCUUUCAGUUGUGGCCACAGAUUUCAUGGAUUAUAAAUCGUAAGAACACAAGGGAUAUCCAUGACUGAUCAUGUGAUCAAAUCCCCUACUACAAUGCACAUACUUCCCACUAGAUUUCGGACUGCACGAACACUGGCCCUUGGGGCGGUCCUCGGUGGAACUCAGGGACAGGUCACGAUACUGCUGGUCCUCUAGUGAAGUCACGGUGAUGUCUGGGUCUUAAGGAUUAAUGGUGUACAACUAUAUCGUAUAAACUUUUACUCGAAUUGGGAAUCACUUAGAGAUCUCUAGAUUGAGGGAAUUCAGUGAACUCAUCAACUUAUGAGAACACUUAUGUAUGCCGAUGUCACAACACCGUUCACUGAUGAGACGCAGUACAUAUAUACUACGUGCUAGUCUCGAACGGAAAGGUCGAUAUCCUCAUUAGUUGUGUAACCCGUUGAUUAGGACCUAUGUUUAACAUUUAGUAUACUUAAAUAAAUAAUCUUUCGAUUCUACUAGAUCUAUUUAUAGUAAUUAAGUAACUGUAAGGACUACAUCUAUGCUUAUGCAAGGGACAAAGAUAUAGAAUACCAAAGGGGUUUUCUAUCAUUAAUACGAAAUAGAUUAUUUAUGAGUAGCGUGAGAAAACACAACAAUUAGUUGGCUCUUCGGUCACCUACUAUAACAACAAGAUCAACAUACUUGAAUGGGUUCUCAUAAUAGAUGAGUUCAUUGAGCAUCCAUCGUGUUAGAAUCUAUAAGUGGUUCCAAUUAAUUAAGUAAAGAUUUUAUGUUUAUAGUAGAACAUCAUUAGUCCUUAGGGCCUAAUACGCCACCGUGACUUUACUAGAGGACCAGAUGUGUUGUGACUUGUCCAUGAGUCCCAUCAAUUUAAGAAAUCUGAAAUCUAGUAGGAGUAUGAUGCUUUAUGAUUAGGGAUUCGACCGCUUACCUGAGUGCAAGGAUGCCAUGUGUGUAAUUUCAGUGUAUAGUCCAUAGAAUCUUCGGCGAAAUAGAAAGUGGGGUGAUUAGAGAAAAUAAUUUAUCUUGAUCGAAUAUUAUUAUAGAUUUAGAACGUUCGCACGGUUAUCGAACAUUAUUAUAGGUCUUGAUUGGCUAAUGCCUCUAGUUCGAUCGGGACAUUUGUUGUCGCAUGGACCGUAUUGUACGUUAACUAUAGUUGAAGGUUAAUCACUACACCAUAUUGAGCAUUUUCUAUCAAUACAAAUUUAUAAUUUGUAACGGAUAUAUUCGUUAGAAAAUACUAACGGGAAAUAUUCGUUAGAAAUUUAAGUUAACCGUUACUAUUAAUAUUAAGUUAGCUUUAUUAAAUUAUAAUAAUUCAAAAAUUAUUUCUAACAUUUAGAAACCGUUAGUAAUAUGUGUAAAAACAUUGAAUUAUUAAAAAUAAAUUAAAUUACUUUUAUCAUGAUAAUAAAACUAGAAUAAUACGAUAUUUUUUUAUCCGUUUUUUCCCAUUAUACUUCACAGCGCCUCUCUCCCACUCUCCCUACUCUCCCUUCUCCUCUCACUCACUCUCGCUCCAUUAACGACGAAAAAGCAGUCAAUUCCGACUUCUUUCUCUCGCCUCCGCCACCACCUGACACUGAAUCGCUUUGAGUAAGAUCUAUUUAUCUCUUGUCAUUUUAAUUCUUCAACCGGGUUUUUUUAUUGUACACACCCUAAAUUAGAUUUGUUUUCAAAAUUAAUCGGGGAUUAUAUAAAAAUUAUUUAGGGUUCUUAAUCAUAUAAUGUUCAUUGCGAUGCUAUAAUUACCGAUAUGUGUUAUGUUGGUAGUUUCUAUACAAAUUAAAUUUAAUGGUGGAAUAAUACUUGUUAAAGGAAUUUGGAUUUUUUUGAAAAUUCUAGGAAUUUGGGUUUAAUGCAAGUGUUCCAUGAAAAUUGUUACACUAUGAUAAUAGAGUUGCUUUGGGGUCUAAACAAUUUUUUUUUUUUUUUUUUUUUUCUAGACAGUUGUGGAAGCUUCAACCUUUAGUUUCCUUGUAUUUGAUUGAAGCUUACCCAACUUGGAGUCCAUGUGAUCUAUUCGAUAAAUGGGCUAUUAAAUUUUUUGGUAUAAUUUGAUUAUUAUUUCUCUCCGUUACCGUAAAUUGUUAUUUAUAUUUGUGUUAAUAUAAUUAAUGAGUAAUGUAGCCAUGUAUAGUUGGAGAAUUUGUUAAGCAAGAAAGCUUAUGUUGGUAAAUAUUGCACAAACACUUCGAGAAAUACAGGUGGGAGUUAUGAAAAUAUAUUUUCUAGUUAGCUCCUUCUUCCUAUUAUUUAGCAAUGUUAAUAAAUCUUACUUUUUUCCUAUUGAAUUCAAUGUCAGUUACCUUUGACUGAAAUUUCUGUACUUAUGUGUUGGAAACAUAAAUAAUUUGUGAGGGAGGGCAAAGUAGAGCCUUGCAAUGACACAACGGCACCAGCAAGAGGGCACAACAGAACCGCCUGACAGGAGCACAUUAUCAUAUUUUAAGCAGGUUAGCAAAUAAUACAUGUUUUUUGGGACUCAAGCGAUGACAUGAAAUCUCGCUGCAAUUUUAAUUAUUUUAUUUGCUUGCUAAGUCAACAUAGAUUAGCAGGUAUCUUCAUGCCACAUACUAAUUCAUUAUAUCCUAUAUAGAGUCUUAUUAUUGUGUUCUUGGUUGGUCAUCAUUUAUGUUAUGACAUGUAAAUAUCUGCUCUACUUCCAUGCUCUAUUGUUCUCUCCUGAUGUUAAAUUCAAAAUCAAAAUCUCACUUUGCCAAAAGUAUAAAAAAGUUGAUAGUUCGGUAGAGAGAUUGGAUGAAAAUAAGAAUACUAUCAUUCAAGAUUCUAAGACCCAUCUAAGUGAUCCGUGUUUAUGUUCUUAACGAAUGGUGUACGAUCAAAAAAUACAAAUCUAGAUAUAGAUAAUUGCAUCUGUUUUACUUUGCUUAUGCGAGUGCGUAAUUUUUUUUCCAGAUAUUUUAUAACAUAAUGCUUAAUCUUUUCGUUGAAAAUCAUGUUCCGUAGUAUUGAAUAUUUUCAGGGGAAACCAACUAUUGUAUACAAUCAGCUAUCUAUUAUAUAUGAACAACCUCUCCAUAAUGGUAUGAAAUUGCAUUUUCUCAUACAACAUGUUAUUAAUUGAUAAUAAAAUAAAUAAAAUGAAAUUUUCAGCUUGUUCUGGUUUUGUGAUUUUGCUCUCAGGAUCUCCAAAGCACCUGGCAACAAUUGGAGCAAAAAAUAUUUGAAAGAAGUAGCAAAAACAGGUUGGACAUAUAAAUUCAUACUUAUAAACGUUGAAAUUGAUGUACUCUUUUUUCUUUUUCAUUUUUUUUCUUUUUUUUUUUCCGGUUUACAUGGAUUAUUUAAUUUUUGAUUCAUGUGUAGGAAAGUUAUUGUACUAGUUGAUGGUACAAGAGAUUGUUUUGAUACUUUUGUUAACGGUGGAGACUUUAUUGUAAUAGUUGAUGGUAAAUAGAUUUUUUUUGAUACAGGGUUGCAUUAUGGAGAAUUCAUUGCAUUAUGAAUUAAUAUUUUUUUUAUUAUUAUUUUUAGUUUUUCUAAUACAAAUAUCUGUUAGAAAUUUAGCAAAAAAUGUUACAAUGAGAACCGUUACAAUUACACUUCUAUCGGAUAUAACCGUUAGAAAUUUUAUUUUUUCUAACGAAUUUUCAUUUUUUUUCUAACGGCUUUAUCCGUUAGCAAUGUUUGGCUCUAAAUUUCUAAAGCAGUAUUUCUAACGGUUUUUCGCCAUUACAAAAAAUAAUACUAACUGAUAUAUCCGUUAGAAAAGGGCUUUUUUGGUGUAGUGAAUGCAGACACUUCAUUUUUAACUAGGGGAUCAUGACACGUAGUUGUUAGGCAUCAUCAUGAUCCAUUGGGUUUGAACCGAUAAGAUCGGCCAUUGAGAUAAAAAGAAGUUCUAAUCUCAAUCGGGACACAUGAGAUGAGUCCGUAUACGAACAAAGAUUUGUUCGAAUCACAAAUGGUUGUGAACCCACGUCUAGCUUACACUCGAACCAUUGAUGGUUACACUUCUUGUGGUGAGGAUUCCUUACUAUGCUGAACUAAGAACAAAGUUGUUGCUUUAGCAUGUUCGAAUAUUAAUAUCAUCAACUAUGAAGUUCGUAAUAGUUGAUUACGAAAUAAAAAAUGGAGAAAAUAACAUUUCCAAAGUUAUGGACUAGAUUUUUCAAAUUGGGUUUACCAUUUGGCAGGUCCUGAUUUGGGCGUUUCCAUUUUCCCAAAAUGGAAAAAAUGCAAUAUGGUACUUAAGUCAACGAGGACGUUUCCCUCGUCAUGAAUAUUUAAUCGUUACAUUCUUUAUUCAAUUUAAUAGUUGAAAAAACGAGGGAUUGAAGAAAUGUUCUUUAAAUCAUGACGGACUUGGGAUUCUACUAUUCUAGGGUUGCAAAAGAAUUCCGCCCUAUAAAUAUAUAACUUAAGAGGGAGAGAAACACAAUUCUAAGGGAAAUAAAAUUCAUGCAUCCCCCUUUUAGAGUGUCGUCCCUGCUCUUUCUUUUUAAUUCCCGGGUUUUUGACAGAUUCCCUAAUAAUCUGUUAAAAAUCCGAAUUCACCAUAUCUAACCGAGGCCUAUCAAGUGCUAAUUCUCAGUGGCAAAACCUCGACAAGGUGAAGCCCGAUUCCAACAUUGAAGAAGGCAUGAAAUUGAUCCAGCAAGGGCUUCGAUGUGACAAUAGAAUUGAAGAAGAAAAGCAACACGAAUCUUUUUUUUUUUAAUAUCGUCCAAUUACAUGCGAUUAGAUUUUAUUGAAACAUUAAACAUAUUUAUAUGCUUACGUUCAACAUGACAGAUAUAUAUUCUCUAUAGAAUUCAUAAUUGAAAAAAAAAAUCAAAGUUUCGAUGCAUACGGUAGCAUGCGAUUUUCCAACAAUUUCUAUGAAUUAGACGUUCUCCAUCGCCUUUGCAUAAUUGGAGCACGAAAGGACAUACAGUCAUGAAUGGUUUUAGCGUAUCUUGUUGAAGGAAAUGGAAAAGUGUCAUCCAACAAAUAUGUUGAACGUAUGUACUAUACUAUGUCGAUCACAACUUAUAUUAUAUUGACCGCUAGUAGUAUAUUGGAAAGUGGCAUGCGGCGACGGCUGCGGCAUCGGACUGACAUCCUAAAUUAGUAAAUCAGUAAAAAAUCAGGGUUAAAUUAGGACUUUGACAGAUGAAAUUGAAGUAAUAUUAAAGUUUGAGGAUAUUUUUGUUAUUGAUGGUAUUUUAAGUAAAAUAUGUUUAUGUCUGAACUUUUAGAUAAAAAAAUAUUUUUAUAUGGACAUAUUCACAAGGAAUUUGAUCUUUAUAGGUAUAAAAAAUUUCACCAUAAGUAUAAUACUAACGCAAUUUUUUUUUUUUUUUUGCUGAACUAUUUGUUAUUUUGUUAAAUCUUGGAUUUAUUGUGACAUGUGAUGACACUAAUACCAUCACCCCAAUUCUAAGUGCUGACCAUAGAUCUCUCUUUCAUAUUGAAAUCAUUAUGGGCCUAGAUGAUGUGUCAUACACUGCUAUGUAACUUUUCUUUUUCCAUAUUAUAUUGCUAUGAUAAUUACUUUUAUAAUUGGUUAAAUAACAUUACACCGUCUAAAUUAUUUUAGUUUUUGUAGGUUACCAUCUUAAUAAAACAAAUUCUCAAUCGGAUCUAAACUCAAAAAAUUGUAUCAUGUGAAUAUUUGACUCAUUUACGAGUCAAAAUGGCCAGGAUUAAACCCAUGCCCUUUGCUCAUGCGAGUUGAAAGGGAUUUUGUGUCUUUUUGAAAUCACAAGCCUGCAUUUUCUUUUAUGUUUCCCCAACUUUCGCAUAAUGCAUUUCCUCUCGUUUUUCAAUCUUUCGUCUUCUUCUUUUGUGCUCAAUUUUUCAAGAUUUUUCUUCUUCUUUUUGGGUCAAGCUUCAAAAGGGCACUAGAACUGACCUUUAAACAUAAUCAUGCGCUAAAUUUGACGUCGGAUAUCUUCGAACACUUUGGUUCUAUUAGCUAAAAACGCUAACGAUUUUUGCAAUUCCAGGAACUAUUGCUUAUUGUGAGUGGUAUCAAUAAUUCUCCGACAACAAAAGAUUUUUCAAGAAAAUUCUGAUUGGAUUUUAUUUAGGGGUCAUUUGAUAUACACCCCUAAUAUGGAAAAAUAUAUAGGGAUUGGUUGACCCCUAAAAUUCUUUCUUUGAGAUACUCCCUGAAGAGGCAAAAAGACUAUGAUGCCCUUACAUGCAAUUUUUGCCUCGAUUGCAUUCAACAUUUCCACCAACUGCAUUUAGCAUUUUUUUAUUUAUUAUUUUUUAUUUUUUCAAUAUUUUUUAUUUAAAAAAUCAAAUAUAAAUUUAAUUUUUUUUUUCUGGUUUUCUUUCUCUCGAAAAAUUUACUAUUUCAAAUAUGACAUUAUAUAUGACUAUAGUCGACUAUAGUCAUAUUCUUGCUUUAUAUUACCGUUUUUUUUUUUUUUUUUUUUUUUUUACAUUUCAACUUAAAAUUGUAUAUUUUCGAUUAUAUAGUGUAGCUCAGUCAUAUUUAACAAAUUAUAUAAAAAAUAAAGACUAUUAUUUAUGAAAAAAUUCAAUCAACAUUCAAAAAAAAAAUUAAAAAAAAAAAAUCAUAAUUUGAACUUGGUAUUACAAGUCAACUUGCAUUCCCACAAUAUAUCCAAAAAAUCACCCGUGUAAAUUCUUCAACUAAAACAACCAUCAGCAUCACUGUACCUUUUUAAAACAUUACAUUUCUUAUAUAUGACUAUACAUGACUAUGUAUGACUGACUAUGACUACAUAUGCUUGGAUAGGGACAAUAUCGAUUUUCGCCAAUUGGCUUGCUGUUUGCCCAUCUUGCUUCGAUUCGGACUUUUUUGUUGCAACUGAAUGGGACACAAGAAAAACUAGAAACAGACUGAGAUCGAGAGGAGACAAUAUGGAGAAAGAUAUUUAACCUCAGAACAUGGGGCCGGAGAAGGACUCGAAACAAUUGAUCAAACAACAAACACACAAAAUUCGAAACAAAUAAAAAAGUAAAAAAUAAAUAUUCCCUUACUUUGUUCUCAGAUCUCGCGGCAGCGGCAAAGACUCGACAACAGCUCCUAUCUGUCGUCUUCCCUGACUUUGGCCUGUUGAAAAUAUGCAGAUAUGACGACGUGGCACAAAAAAAUGAGUUCAAGUUGUAUCGUGCAAUUGUUUUUAUUCAGAUGGCAAAGUGCAAAUCGAAAAAGUAUAGAGGUAAACUACUAUUCACCGUUUACAAGUAUUUAUAAACACCCUUCAAGUCUAAUUUCAUUUUAUAUCAUGACAAUCAUAUAUUUCUAUUUUGCUAAAAGUCCAUCAGGCAGCUUAGUUAGAGAGUUUAGACUGAAAAUAGACAUUGUAGGCUGAAAAUACCCUAUUCUUCAUAACCCGGUUCAGCCUAAUAAACACAUCAGUUCAAAAAAUGGCGUUUACCACUCCACGGCCUCUCCCUACCCGUCCCUUGCCGUUAACCACCUAAUUUUCACCAACCACGUCACUGAAAAAUGAUAUUCUCAGCGGUCUAGAUCUCAGUCCUCGAUUCGGUCUAAGAUGUUUGCAUUUAGUCCAAGUUCUCUAACUAACAUGUUCGUUUUAAGUUCAGGUUGUCUGUUUCAGACUAAGCUCUCCAUCUAGCACUAGUAGAAAAAUGUAUUUUUACUACGAUUAUUAACCGUAACAAAAGGUGUCAAAUUCGUACUAAAAAGGCUUUUGCUAUGCAUUUGCUACGAAUUUGCCCCGUAGCAUAUACGGGCGUGACAAAAGCUUUGCUACGGUAAAUGGUCGUACCAAAUAUUUUUUUGCUACGGUAAAUCCUAGUAUUUACUACGACUUCAAAAUUGUUCCGUGGUAAAAAGUACCUUUUAUUACGGAUAGUUACCACAGCAAAAAAUUUCGUAGUAAUAAGCAAAUUUUCUACUAGUGUAGGUUGUCCACUUUCAAUCUAUUUUCAGUAUAAGUUGUCUAACUAAGCUAUCCAAUGGACUUUUAGCAAAUUCAAAUAUUCAAGCAAAUUGUUAUCUAUACAAAAUAUUUUUGCGUGGUUUUAACCGAUUUUCCCAAAAAAUAAUGGAUGUACACAUUUAUUCUUUAUUAGUUUAUAGUUUAUUUUUCCCCUUCCACCCCUCCCCGACCCCCACCCCACCCAAACCUGUCCAGUGUGAUGGAACAAUCCAAAUAAGAAACGAAUACCAAAUAAAGGUUGAAUUAUAAGGAUGAAGAUAAUCCUAUCUAAAUUACGACACACCUCAUUCCUAUAUGUCUUAUUGUUGAACAUUCCAUAACAUUUUUAUUAUAACAUUUUUAUCAAAGAUUAAAUUAACCGCGAAAUUUGUUUUUAUGAAUGUGUUCUUAAAAAAUGAUAAAACAAAAUAAAAAAUAGAACAUUUAUUUUCCAAUAUUAUUAAUUUACUUCAUUAUUUUAAUAUUCUAGUGAAGAAUAAAGAUAAUAUUUAAUGAGUUUGAAUUCAAUUUUCAGUUGAAAUUGCAUUUUAUAAAGGAAGUCCCCGUGGUAUUUUAAAAUGGGGUUUUGUGCAUAAGUCCCCAACCAAGUAUCUUUAUUAUUCUAGGUUUAUGGGCUAUAUUUCCUUCACCAAUAAGCCCAUCCAUUUAAUAUUUAUUAUAAAUAAAGGAAACAUACAUGUAUAUGACAAUAUUACCCCCAACCCCUUAUACCCAAUUCUUAAUUGUAACCCCAAUUUAAUCAAUUUUGUCCACAAAAAUCCAAUUUCGACCACAAAAUCCAAUUUUGACCUUUUUUUUUCAAAAUUUUUUUAUUCCCGCCGGAUUCCGGCGUUGACUUUUCGAUUUUUUUUUUCUUCCAGAUUUUUCGCCGGUUUCCGGCGUUGAUUUUUUUUAGUGUUUUUUCAAGUUUUUUUUUUUUUUGGUUUUUUUUUCUGUUACGUCCGCCGCUAAACGUUGACCGUAAUAGUGCUGUCACUGACAGUAAAUUAACGUAAUUAUACUGCCGUUGACAAUACAUUUAUGUAAUUGUUCUGUCGUUGACAGUAAAUUAACGUAAUAUUAUUAUUUUUUGGGUUUUUUGUUUUGUUUGAGUUAUUCACGGAGUAACGUAAUACUAUUACUGUCUAUUGUUGUAAUAUUACUGUAAACACAAUAAUAUUAAUGUGGUUGACAGUAAUAUUAUUGUUGUUAUAGUAAUAUUGUUGUCAACCAUAUCAAUAUUAUUAUAUUGUUUGGAUUUUUUUGUUGGUUUGAGUUAUUCACGGAGUAACGUAAUAAUAUUAUUGUUUAUUAUUAUAAUAUUACUGUGGUUGACGGUAAUAUUACUGUUGUUAUAGUAAUAUUACUGUCACUCACAGUAAUAUUAAUUCAUUUGAUUUUUUAUUAUUUUACAUUUGUUGAACGGUCAACAUAGUAAUAUUAUUCUAUUACACAAUAAUAAUGAGUUUUGUUCUGUUAAUAUUACUGUACUAGAGAUUACUAUAGCAAUAUUACUGUGUUAAACUGUAGUUUAGUUAAUUUUACUGUGUUUAACUGUAAUAUAGUUAAUAUUACUAUCAAUCACAGCAAUAUUGUUGUUUAAACAAAAAAAAAUGUUACAAAAAUAAAAUAAAAAAAAAUCGAAAAAGUCAACGCCGCCGGAAACCGGCGAAAAUAUCCAGAAGAAAAAAAUAAUAAUAAUUUUUUUUUGAAAAGUCAAUGCCUGAAUCCGGCGGCAAAAAAGUUUUUUUGAAAAAAAACAUGUGGGUCAAAAUUGACUAAUUUGUGAAAUUUGGGGUCAAAUUGCGGUUAAAUUAGAUUAAGGAUGAAAUUGGAGCAUAAUAAAGUAUGAGGGGCUAUUUUAGUCUUUUACAAAAAUCUGGACCAUGUAUAACUUAUUUGUAAAAGAGUUUUUUGUCUGUAAUUGUUCUGUCGUUGACAGUAAAAUAACUACAUUUAACUAUAGUACCUAUAGUAAUUCAUAGUUAUGUUCGUCUUUUUUCCCCAUAUUUUUAAUCGAUCAAUUGUAUACACACACGAAUACUGACUUAUACAAAAUAAAUUCAUAAAACCCCAACAAAAAUUUACAAAUUUCAAUAUUUUUAUAAUAAAUCACAUCAGAACCAAUAAAGUACAAAUCGAAAAUGCACAAAUAUAUGCAUAUGUAACUACAUGUUACUAUAGUAAUGUAUAGUAAUGUACAGUAAUGUAUACAGUAUGUUGAACAAAUCAGAUGUAACUUCAAAAAAAAAAUUUGACACCUUCAAGGAAAGGAUCAAUGGCCUUCAUUAAGCUGCAAUUGCAAAAUCAAAAACAAAAAGAAAUUAUUUUAGUGCAAAUCAACAAAAUUUGAAGAAAAACAUCAAAACACUCAAAAAUCAACAAACACUAAGAGAUCGAGAGAUAGAAAGAGAGGUUAUUGCUGGGAAAUGCUACAAAUUUUAAAUCAAACAGGCAGUGACUCCUCACCCCCCUCGCCUCCUACCAAAACCCUAGACGCCGCUAAUAACCACCCACGGUUCCGCGCGCCCACAAAUGCAAAAAAAUAUAGAAAUAAAUCUGAAAACAUAAAAAUAAAUGAAAUUACCAUCAAAAUAUAGAUCCAACGGUGGGCGACACGUCAAAUUUCGACGGGUGGAACACAAAAUAAAGCUCCGGCAAGACCACCGUUCUCGAAUGAAAAAAAAUUGCAGAAUCAAAUCAGCGCUCGUAACUGAAUGAAAUCACCACCAAAAGAAAGAGCUCGACGAGAGGAAUCCAACGGUAGUUAAACCAUCGAAUUUCGACCACCGAAGAGAGAGUUAUGGCUCCAGGAAGCAAUUUUGCCCGUGGGAGGUUUGUGGAGGCGGGAUUUUGAAUCUGGGAGAAGAAGAGCGAGACCGUGAGUGGCUAGGGUUAAAACUGAUUUAUAAGGGUAUUAUAUGAACUUCAGGGUAGCACAGGGGGGUAUGUCAAAAUAUUUUCGAAAUGAGGGGGGUUUAUCCUAGAGUGUAAUCCACUUGUUAGUUAGUUCUAUAUAAUUUGGAAAUGAGGGGUCUGCAAAAUAACCCCAUAAAAUUAAUUAUACAUAAUCUCAAAGUAGAACAAUGUAAUUUACGAAAUAUUUGAUUGAAUAGUAGUAUAUAGGAAAUUCGAAAAAUUCAAUAGUCAAAUGAGUGAAGAGUAAGGGCUCCUUUGAUAUGAUUCAGUACCGAAUGCUGAAUGCUGAAUAUAGAUCUGAAUGACUAAGAGCAGUGUCUGAAUGUUGAAUGGUGAACAAUUAAGUCUAUUUGGUAUCUGAAUAUCAAUAAUGUCUGAAUAUUAUUAUUUUCCUGAUAUGCCCUUAUGCAAUGCUGAAAAUUUAUCUGUUAAUUAAGUUUGAUUUGCAUACGUGAAUAAACACAAUUUUUUAAUUUGCUACUUAAUUAUUUAAAAAAUAAAUUUAUGGUGGACAUUAAACAUUUUGAUAUAAAAUAAUUCUAAAAUAAUGAACACAAAUAAAUUUCAAAUUUAAAUCUUAAAGUUUAAGCAACUAAUAACAAUAUUCUAUCUAAAUAAUGGAUUUUACGAUAUUUUGUCUAAAGAAUAAUAAUUUAUUUACUAGCCUGAUUAUUAAUAAAAGAAUAAUACAAUUAUAACUAAAAUCAACAAAUUGAAGAGCUAACUGUAAAAGAUAAAUAGCGGCCAAAUCAUAAAAUAAUUCAUCCAAAAUACAAAAGCAAAAAAUAUUAAUUAAUUUGUGGCCACAUCUUCUUUCCAAUAACAUGUGAGUUUCAAAAUUUACCAGCAAAGAGAGGAGAGUUGUUGGAAUAUUAAAUUAUUUUAUAGGGUCAAUAUGUCAAAUGCAUUCAGCGUAUAUUCUGAAUGAAUAAGCGUUAGUUUUGCGGCUGAAUAGGUAAGUUGUUAACAGUGUUAUUAAGAGAUCUCCACCAAAUACACUUAAUAGGAUGUGGUCUGACUGAAUAAGACCUUGAGCUCAAUCAGAGCUCAUUAAGAAGCUAUCAAACAGACCCUAAGUUCUUGUCAAUCCACACUCAAAAACAAAAAUAAAUAAACAAAAUCCUAUCAAUCCUUUUGGGAUUAUUAUUAUUAUUAUUAUUAUUAUUAUUAUUAUUAUUAUUAUUAUUAUUAUUAUUAUUAUUAUUAUUAUUAUUAUUAUUAUUAUUAUUAUUAUUAUUAUUAUUAUUAUUAUUAUUAUUAUUAUUAUUAUUAUUAUUAUUAUUAUUAUUAUUAUUAUUAUUAUUAUNNNNNNNNNNNNNNNNNNNNNNNNNNNNNNNNNNNNNNNNNNNNNNNNNNNNNNNNNNNNNNNNNNNNNNNNNNNNNNNNNNNNNNNNNNNNNNNNNNNNCUUCGGUAUACUAUUAUUAUUAUUAUUGUUGUUGUUGUUGUUGUUAUUAUUGUACUUGCGCUUGAGAAACUUCUCUUCCUUGUUGUUAACAGAAAAUGAUUUCACCCUGUAAUCAUCCAAGUCUUCAGGUUCGGCACGAGCAUGUAGAGGUGUGUAAUUUACCAAAGUACCCUUUGUCCUCCAACGUGAUCCACAUGCAUUGCACAGUACUGGCUUCUCAGGCGGCCCGUUACGCCAAAGUGGGGUACCUGUUUAUUACACACAUGUUUCGUUAGAAGGAAACACAAUGACAAGUAUCCAUUCAUCCACAUUUGUAAGAAUACGAUUAGCAAGUGUUUGGACAAUGUAGUUAACGAAGAAUGAUAUACUAAUUCAUGAUCAAGAUCCUCACAAUAGUACCAUUGCGUCAAAACGCAUGUUAAAAAAUUUCAACAAAAUCGGUUUUAAAGUUAAAAGAGUCGAAACAUUUAAACGAGGACAGCAAACUCAAACUAGUUCAUUUAGACACGCAACUAUGAUCAAACAGAGUGUUUCAUUUAUUCGAUGCACAUUCAUGUCAUGUCCUAGUAUUGUUAGUUCGUGUUUCAUAUGAUCGAUUACUAGAAUCAAGAAUCGACAGUCAAACAGUCAUUUGCAACAGCAAAGUCUAUCUAACAGGAAGACAAGAACCAAUGACGAAGUAUUGUUCAUUGUCUUCAAUAUCAUAAAUAUCAACUGGGGAAAAUGUUCAUAUAAAUCACAGAAAAUUAANNNNNNNNNNNNNNNNNNNNNNNNNNNNNNNNNNNNNNNNNNNNNNNNNNNNNNNNNNNNNNNNNNNNNNNNNNNNNNNNNNNNNNNNNNNNNNNNNNNNGAAGAAUAUAUAAUCAAAUUAUUGAAUUGAAACCCAAAAAAGAAAGAAAAGUCACUUGUCACACCACAGUGAUAGCAAGGUCCAUGCUUUCCCAUGUCCUAUUUCUUUUUUUCUUCCCUUAAUAAUAUCAAAUACAGCCUUUCAAUCAAAAUUCACCACUUCUUUUUUUCUUUUUUUUUUCUUUUCUUUUUUUAAUUAAAGAUGAACAAAAAACAGUUUCCUCCUCAAAAAACAAAUUGGAAGAUAGAUACAGACUUUAUUGUUUUUCUUAAUUUAUUGGACUUGUGUAAAGCAUAUGCUUCUGGGUAUCAAAGCUUUUUUUCACAGCAAUUAAACCCAGAAAAAAGAAUUUGUAAACAAGAAGAAAUCAAAACAAAAUUAAAAAAAAAAAAAAGAAGCCCACUAAAACAGCAUACUCUCUCUCCACACCCAAAUGAAGGAAGGUCAAAACCAGAUGGGUUGUAUGUAUAUAUAAAAUAUAUAGAAUAUAUAAUCAAAUAGAGACAAGUGAAAAAACCAUUGAAGGAAUCUAAAAUAAUUGUUGAAGAAAGGAAAGGUGAAAAUGGGAAAAGGAGAGAGAGAGAGGAGGCUGUUUCUCUCUACAAGACUUCUUUCUUCUUUCUUAUUGUUUUUGGGUUUGAAGUAAAUGUUUCAGCUUUUCUUACUUCUAUAUUAUUU
rnacentral:lncRNA from 1 species